GUUUCCUCAUGUUCAGCAGAAGAGGAGGAGGACCUCCAGAUGGUGAUGAAGAGGAGGAACAGAGCAGCUCCAGAAGCAGACUUCAGUUCUGAUGCUGAACAUCAUGAAUGCCUUCUUCUGGUUCACCUUGAACCUCAUGCUGCUUUUAGUCAGCUCCUCUCUCAGAGUCCAGCAGACUCCGGCUGACAUGAACCGCCUCCCCGGCGGCUCCGCCAACAUCAGCUGCUCCCACAGCAUCCCGAGCUACGACCGGAUCCUCUGGUACAAACAGCAGGGCGCCGCCAUGCAGCUGCUGGGGUACAUGAACGUGAUGUUUGGAAAUCUGGAGCCCGGCGUGAACGUGACCAUCUCCGGGAGCGCCCAACAAGGCCAGACCUGCACCUUAUCCAUCAGGGAUCUCAGCCUGAGCAGCAGCGCAGUUUACUUCUGUGCAGCUAGUUACCACAGUGCCACAUCCAGCCAAACGUCUGUGCAAAAACCUCUGUGGCUGACUCCGCCCCCGACACAACGAACACCAAACAUCCGACGAGCAGAAGUUCAGAUGCAGACAGCAGAGGCAGGAUGAUCGCUGCAGUCCUGAGCGUUUGCUUCCUUCUCCUGUCAGGUAACGCUGCGGCUGCUUACUGAGCUCCUCCUGGACUCAGCUGUUGGACUGUCGUCACUCUUUCCUCUUUUCUGUGUUCACAACAACAGGUUCCUCAGCAAAAGUACAAGUUUAUCAAACUCCGAGUCAAAUUUACCGCAAACCAGGAGAAGAAGCAAAGAUCUACUGCUCCCACGGCGAGUCGAGCUAUGACCAGAUCCUCUGGUACAAGCAGUCAGACGGGGGGAUGCUCCUCCUGGGAUACGUGUACUUCAAGGACGCUUAUCCCGAGGCGGGACUGGGAGUGACGCUGGGCGGAGGAGCAUCCAAGGACCAGAACUGCACCUUGACAGUGGAUGGGAGCAGCAGCAGCAGCAGCAGCAGCAGCAGCAGCAGCAGCAGCAGCAGCAGCAGCAGUGCAGUUUACUUCUGUGCUGCCAGAUCCACAGUGACGCCUGUGGUUGAUUCUCAGCACAAAAACCACCCCCCCACCCCACCCCCCCAGGAUCAUCACUCAUUUUACAGACAUGCAGAAAGAAUUAAAUCUUUGAAUGCAAAUAUAUCUAUUUAUGAUUAUAUAUGUUUUAUUUAUUUCUAAUAAAUUAUUAUCCUAAACGUGUUUGAGGUGUUUUCUUAUGAUUCUUUUCCUUUGUUUUUAAUACUGAAAGUUACUUGAAAUAAAGCGAUAAAUGAAUCAGAUGUUUAGAAACGCAAAAAAUGAUUUUAAAAGUGAGAAAUUCUGUCAAAAACUGCAG